GAAAUGCGAUAAGUAAUGUGAAUUGCAGAAUUCAGUGAAUCAUCGAAUCUUUGAACGCACAUUGCGCCCGCCAGUAUUCUGGCGGGCAUGCCUGUUCGAGCGUCAUUACAACCCUCAGGCCCCCGGGCCUGGCGUUGGGGAUCGGCGGAAGCCCCCUGCGGGCACAACGCCGUCCCCCAAAUACAGUGGCGGUCCCGCCGCAGCUUCCAUUGCGUAGUAGCUAACACCUCGCAACUGGAGAGCGGCGCGGCUACGCCGUAAAACACCCAACUUCUGAAUGUUGACCUCGAAUCAGGUAGGAAUACCCGCUGAACUUAAGC
rnacentral:misc_RNA from 1 species